CUCCACUAGCAUCACCGCCAUCAUCAUCAACAUCAUCCUACUCCACUAGAAUCACCAUCCCCAUCCACUACCAUCACCACUAUCAUUAUCAACAUCCUCCUUCACUACCAUCACCACCAUCAUCAUCACCAUCAUCCUCCUCCACUACCAUCACCACCAUCAUCAUCAUCCUCAUCCACUAACAUCACCACCAUCAUUAGCAACAUCAUCUUCCUCCACUGCCAUCACCACCAUCAUCAUCGUCAUCAUCCUCCACUACCAUCACCACCAUCAUCCUCCUCCACUACCAUCACCACCAUCAUCCUCAUCCUCAUCCACUAACAUCACCACCAUCAUUAGCAACAUCAUCUUCCUCCGCUGCCAUCACCACCACCAUCAUCAUCAUCAUUCUCCACUACCAUCACCACCAUCAUCCUUAUUCAGCAAUUCUUUAGUGUUCACAGAGUGCCA
rnacentral:lncRNA from 1 species